ACGAACGCUGGCGGCAGGCCUAACACAUGCAAGUCGAGCGCGGACUUCGGUCCUAGCGGCGGCCGGGUGAGUAACGCGUGGGAACGUGCCCUUUGCUUCGGAAUAGCCCUGGGAAACUGGGAGUAAUACCGGAUGAGCCCUUUGGGGGAAAGAUUUAUCGGCGAAGGAUCGGCCCGCGUUGGAUUAGGUAGUUGGUGGGGUAAUGGCCUACCAAGCCGACGAUCCAUAGCUGGUUUGAGAGGAUGAUCAGCCACACUGGGACUGAGACACGGCCCAGACUCCUACGGGAGGCAGCAGUGGGGAAUCUUAGACAAUGGGGGAAACCCUGAUCUAGCCAUGCCGCGUGAGCGAUGAAGGCCUUAGGGUUGUAAAGCUCUUUCAGCUGGGAAGAUAAUGACGGUACCAGCAGAAGAAGCCCCGGCUAACUCCGUG
rnacentral:rRNA from 1 species